AGGUGAGCGAACCUUUUCUUAGGGGGAGGGGAAGAGAAACACCAUUUAACCCACCAAACCUCACAGCCAACUCUGUUCCAGUGACCUAUUGCUGUACAAUAAAUGAGCCCAAAACUCAGUGACCUCAAACAGCAAUCGCCGGUUUCUUUGAGUGAGGAAUUUGGGGAGGGCUUGGCUGGCUGGUUCUGGCUUCCAAUCUGUCAUACCGCGGCAAUCAGACCGUGGAUGGUGCUGGGACAGUCCGGGGCUGAGGCAGCUGGGACUAGGCAAACAUCGUCCUCUCUUCCUGUGGUCUCAGGACCUCUCAGUGUGGCCUCCCCACGGGGCUAGUUGGGCUUCCUCACAGCAUGGCAGCCUGGGGGAGGUCAGACCACUUCCUGCAGAGCGAGGCAUGCAGAAUCACUGAGGGUCACCUCCACGGUGCUCUGCCAUUCAGGACAGCCUCCAAGGCCCUCCCUUCCCCCCAGAGGCAUGACAGCUCUCAGCAGCAGCCCAUCUCCCUUUACAGAUGCGGCCACUGAGGCUCAGCAAGGCAAGUAACAGCCAAGUUACUCGAGCUUGGGGCAGAGCCACACCUGAGCCCAGGAAGGUGACUUCAGGGCCCGUAACGACAGCACGUACUUGGCACCUAUGGAUGCUUUCUUGUCUCCAACGAUCUGUCCCUUCAACCUGGGAAAAUGGGCCCGAUCAGGGCCCAGGCUGCUGUCUAGGAUGAUCUGGGGACAAUAGGGAUGGUGUGAGCGUGAAGGAGGCCUGUAGACGGGUCGCCAGGUGCCCUGGCUUCCAGCCCUGGCUCGGCCACGCCUGUUGGUGUGGUCUCGGUCAGCUUCCUGUUCUGUAACAGGAGGAACCAGGCCUGCCCCGCUGCCUUUUAUGGUUGUCACGGGUGACAGGAGGCUCAAUAUGUUGGAGUGCUUGCUAAGCUGCUUAAUGCUGGUCAAAUAAAAGGCCUCGCCUGUCUCUCUGAGUUGCUCAGAGGGCCAGGAGCAUCUGGCUGCUUGGCAGAUGUUGAUUUUCAUUUAAGGGUUUCCUACCAACCCCAGAAGGAGCAGCAGGUCCGGCAACUCUGCUCUGCAACCAAGGAUGGUUACCCAGGAGACCAGGCGGUCGAGUCAUCAAUGAGGGACUGUGCACUUUGGAGCUUGCGGGUCCUUGUUGCCCCAGAGUAGCCAGUGAAUAAGACUGGGGAAGAGAUGAAUCUUCCAGAGGAUUCGUGUCACGGAGGGCUGUGUAAACAAAGGACCCCGAAUUCAGUGCUUAACCUGGUGAUUCAUUUUUAUCUGUCGUGGUUGUGUAGGUUGACAGGGCUCAGCUGACCAGUUCUUCCUCAGCGAACGGGGCGGGGUCUCUAUACAUUUGCAAUCGGGGAGCAGCUGGGUCUGUGGUCAUCUGAAGGCCCGACUGGGUUGGGUGUCCCAGCGGGCAGCUCAGGGCUCUUCCACGUGGCCUCUCUCUCUCCAGCAGUAUGGCCCCAGGUUCUUAAGGGGCAGCUUUUGACUCCAACGGUCAGUAGAAAUAGCCAGUCCCUCAAGGGCUGGGUGCAGGUAAGGGUUGGCCUCACUUUGGCCAUAUUCCGUUGGCCAAAGAGUCACAAAGCAGCCAGAUACUAGGAUGUGGAGGGAUGGACUCAACCUCUCAGUGGGGGCCUGGGGUGUCCACCCACAAUCUCCAAAGAAUCUUUGUGCCCCUAACAGUCCGUUUUCCCAGUAGAGACUGGCAGGUGUACAAGAGACGGGCCCCUGGCUGAGCUCAUGGUGGGUCAGGUAGCUGAACUCUUCCUCUCCAGAAAGGGCAAACAGUCAUUCCAACGGGCUGCCUCCCUGCCCUGUCAUCUGUCUGUGGAGUUUCCCAAGCCUCCUCGCCCACUCCCAUUCUGCCCUUCUUGUGCCUCUUGUCAAUUUACUCUUCUCGCCCCUUUUGACAAAAGCAAAUCGGUGUGUCCUGGGGCAUGUGGUGGCUUCUCUGAGCCUCGGUUUCCCCCCCGUAACAUGGGGCACCUCCUAGGGUUCCUAUGAGUAUCCUACGGUUUAACUCAGCAGUUCCUAGCAUGGGUCUGACACAGGGAAGGUGCCGGGUGAGUAAGCCAACAGCCCCAUCACAGGCCUGGUCUUGCCCACAUCUAUCAGGUCUUGCGUUAAAUGCUUUCCAUAGGUUAUCUGGUCGAAACCUUCGGGCUCCAGGAACUAAGUACUAUUUUUAUCUCCAUUUCGUAAAACAAGGAAACUGAAGCUCGAGAGGUUAUGGAACUUGCUCAAGGUCCUUCGGUUAGUAAGUGGCAGCGGCUCUGAGACUUGAACCUUGAGGUGUUUCCCACUGUCGCCCAUUCUUUAGCCCCAGGUGAUGUGAGUAAGAAUAAAAACACCUCUGCUCUUGGCCCCUCCCCAGGCUUCCAGACUGUUCUCUAGACUCACAUACCCGCUGGCUGCAAACAUGUGCUCACUGGGGAGGUAUCUGUUCCGGUUUAAAUACACUGGCCAGAGGUGGAGUGACUUGCCGGGUGGGGUGCGGGUGCUCCUUUCAAGCAAAUAUCUGCUUCUUCCCCCCCAGAAACUUUCCUCCUCUCUGCGGCGGUGGACAGCCAGGAACCUGGAUGGCUACGGCAGGUCUGCGGGAGUUUAGCGAGGAUGGCCAAUUCUCAGGGAUGCUCAGAUCUGCCCUGGCAGGGCCAGCAAACUACACUCAAAACCUGGCCCACCGAUUGUUUUAUAAAUAAAGUUUUAUUAGAAC